AUUUUUGGAGACAUUGCAGCAGAUUUGGUUUUUCUCAGAGCACCUCUGCAGCUGCUGAAUGCUUGCAGGCACAGGGGUCUCCUGCUUCUCAGACUUUUCCACUACUCCCUUUUCUUUAAUGCUAAAAGCAGAAUGGACUGAGAGAUGCCUUGGACGUAAGUGAUUUCACAUCUGUAACUAUAUCCUGCAAACAUUUGUAGACACAUCUUGGGAAAGAAGCACUCAUGCUUGCAUCUGUUUCCAACAUCUGUGCAUUUAAGUCAGCAACAAAAGUCACCAGGCAUUUGAGCUUGCCCUGCUAUAAUGUUUCUGAUUUACCUUGACAGCCAUGAUAAUGUCUAAGUUCUUCUUCACCUUAAGCGGCUGGAAGCCCCUGCAUAUCCUGCCCAAGC
rnacentral:lncRNA from 1 species